rnacentral:misc_RNA from 1 species
GAAAUGCGAUAAGUAAUGCGAAUUGCAGAAUUCAGUGAGUCAUCGAAUCUUUGAACGCACAUUGCGCCCUGUGGUAUUCCGCAGGGCAUGCCUGUUCGAGCGUCAGUACAACACUCAAGCCUAGCUUGGUCUUGAGCCUUACUGGUAAUACAGUAGGCUUUAAAAUCAGUGGCGGCGCCAUUAGGCUCUUAGCGUAGUAAUAUUUCUCGCUAUUGGGUUCUCGUGGUUAGCUAGCCAGCAACCCCAACUUCUAAGUUUGACCUCGGAUCAGGUAGGGAUACCCGCUGAACUUAA